GCCCUUAGAGUUUGAUCCUGGCUCAGGAUGAACGCUAGCGGCAGGCCUAAUACAUGCAAGUCGAACGGUAGCAGACCCGGCAACGGGUGCUGACGAGUGGCGCACGGGUGCGUAACACGUAUGCAACCUACCCUGUACUGGGGGAUAACCCUGAGAAAUCGGGGCUAAUACCCCAUGGUAUUAUGAAGUGGCAUCACUUUAUGAUUAAAGAUUCAUUGGUACGGGAUGGGCAUGCGCCCCAUUAGUUAGUUGGUGAGGUAACGGCUCACCAAGGCUGUGAUGGGUAGGGGUUCUGAGAGGAUUAUCCCCCACACUGGUACUGAGACACGGACCAGACUCCUACGGGAGGCAGCAGUAAGGAAUAUUGGGCAAUGGAGGCAACUCUGACCCAGCCAUGCCGCGUGCAGGAAGACUGCCCUAUGGGUUGUAAACUGCUUUUGUAUGGGACUAACCGUGGUUACGUGUAACCGCCUGCAUGUACCAUACGAAUAAGCAUCGGCUAACUCCGUGCCAGCAGCCGCGGUAAUACGGAGGAUGCGAGCGUUAUCCGGAAUUAUUGGGUUUAAAGGGUGCGUAGGCUGACAAGUAAGUCAGUGGUGAAAUACCCCGGCUUAACCGGGGGGUUGCCAUUGAAACUGUUUGUCUUGAGUGUAAUCGAAGUGGGCGGAAUGAGGUGUGUAGCGGUGAAAUGCAUAGAUAUACCUCAGAACACCGAUAGCGCAGGCAGCUCACUAGCUUACAACUGACGCUGAGGCACGAAAGCGUGGGUAUCAAACAGGAUUAGAUACCCUGGUAGUCCACGCAGUAAACGAUGAUCACUA
rnacentral:rRNA from 1 species